CCCAGUAAAGUAGGUGAUGAGGGAUUUAUCAGGUGACCUUGACUGUCAGGAGAGCAAAUGUGUGGCAAUGCAAGACACACAAAGAAACAUGCAACAUGCAUCUACCUUGAUCCUGAGAGCUCUCUGAGCCACCAGCGACCUGGCCUGAUGGACAGACUCUACCCAGACUUAUCAUGUGUAUGACAGUGAUGAGCAUGUUUGGCUGCAUGCUAUUGGCUUGGUUGGCCAGAAGGACAAACUGUGUGAGAGGAGAGCAAGAGGACGAGGGAGGCACGAACACUGGCACCAUGCAUGCCAGGGUGUGUCCAGAUGUUCGGUUCAAUUUGAUCAAGCCUGCAGCCACACCCCCCUGUUCACACUAAUCCUCAGAGAAGCAGCACGCCAAAGUUUGAAAUCAUCAAUGAAAUCCAGAAGCACAGUCAGCAGAUGCCACAAGAACACAAAGACGUCCAUCCUAAUUAUAUUCAUGUCUGUUCCUCACUUCUGUUGUCAAGCAGAUUGAGUUUAACCUCUUAACAUUAGUCGUCCACCGUAGGUCAACAGUAUGUAAUAAGACAGAGCUUAAUCCGAAUUGACCUCUGCCACUGCCAGCGUCCUCAGGCUGAAUAAUGUGGCUAAUGCGUCAGCAUUAGUUAAACAGCUGGAUGUGGGUUAUCUGGCUGAAGUAAGUGUUGCCAGCCACUCGAUAUGGGCUGCACGCAAAGAUCCAUUCUU